UACGAAGGGGGCUAGCGUUGUUCGGAAUUACUGGGCGUAAAGGGCUCGUAGGCGGCCAACUAAGUCAGACGUGAAAUCCCUCGGCUUAACCGGGGAACUGCGUCUGAUACUGGAUGGCUUGAGUUCGGGAGAGGGAUGCGGAAUUCCAGGUGUAGCGGUGAAAUGCGUAGAUAUCUGGAGGAACACCGGUGGCGAAGGCGGCAUCCUGGACCGAUACUGACGCUGAGGAGCGAAAGCUAGGGGAGCAAACGGG
rnacentral:rRNA from 1 species